UACAGAGGGUGCGAGCGUUGUUCGGAAUUAUUGGGCGUAAAGCGCGUGUAGGCGGCUUUGCAAGUCGGGUGUGAAAGCCCUCAGCUUAACUGAGGAAGUGCGCCCGAAACUGCAUUGCUUGAGUACCGGAGAGGAUGGCGGAAUUCCCCAAGUAGAGGUGAAAUUCGUAGAUAUGGGGGAGGAACACCGGUGGCGAAGGCGGCCAUCUGGACGGAUACUGACGCUGAGACGCGAAAGCGUGGGUAGCAAACGGAG
rnacentral:rRNA from 1 species